GGGGGCAGCGCCAGAUCCUGGGCUGUGUCCCCCAGCGUCCUGGGCUCUGGGGCCUGCACCACUGGAAUUGCCUCCCGGGGCUGCUCAGCCCCCU
rnacentral:pre_miRNA from 1 species